GGGAAGGACCGGAAGUGGGAGAUUGGCAAGGGACCACACUUCCGCUACAGCGACAAGUUUUACUGAUUGUUUUCAAGUUCUGCAAGUAACGAAAACUUCAACUGCUGGUGGCAAUAAGCGACAUGACCUUUUGGAGAAUGCUGCUUGUUGUAAAGUGAGUGGCGUUACAUUUAAGGCCAUCCUCGUCCCAAACUGACGACAUGCAAGCGUGCAUCUACAAUGCAAGAUUCCAUCAAAAUGCUGUAAAAUGUCCGCCGAUGGCAGCCACGAGAGAACAAAAAAAAGGUACGUCGGCUCUUGUUUAGCAAGCAAUUUACUCACCUCGUGUCAUCCGCACACAACACUCACGAGUCACAAAAUGGCAACCGACGCAAAUUACAAAAUCGACUUCUAAAGGAGUCCAGCCGUGAGGAUUCAUGCAAAUCCCAUUCUGCUAAAACGGCUGCCAGAGGGGGACUUCCUGCAAAGGGAAUAGCGGCCAUAGUCCCAACCAGCAACUCAAAGUUAGAAGCAGGCU